GAAAGCCUGGAUUGUAUUACAUCCAAAACAAAAUUUUUACGGCCAAUUUCUUCACUGGAUGAAAAUAGGUUUAGCUCCAGUUCAGAUGCAACAAUCGAUCGUGAACCAGUUUAAAUAGGAAUCGGUUGUUGCACUUCAGUUGAACCAACGACACGACUAGACACUGGCAUUCCAAAACUGUAUCACAAAUCUGACUACCCCCCAGUGACUCAGGUAACUGGUACUGUCAAAUCUGAUUUUCAUUAAAAAAUGCAUGAAACUAGCAACAUUGAUGAGUCUGUUAUUUAUUUCAAAUAGUUACCGUAGCAACCCUUCGAUACGUAAGUGAAAAUUUUGUGACAUCAAAACAAACCCAUAAUUUUAAACAAGUGAAGUAUAAAGUGUAAAAACGAUGAAAAACUUGGAAUAAAAUGGUUGGCGGACCCAGAUUUUCUGGUACACUAUCGUGCCCGACUAGUAUCGGAAUGGAUAUCGAGAGUGAGUCGGCGAAUUUGGCCGAAAACUUACAUCAACUACUGAACUACUACAGUAAUCGCAAAUCCAGAAUACAAAAUACGGCGCAAACAUCAAAUGCGUAUUCUGCGAUUUCAACACUCAGUAUUUAACACAAUUCCAACCCUACAACCAUGACCACAUCACCCGAAUAUCACCGUAAGCUGUUUGAAGCAAUAACAUGCUAUUGAUUAUUGAACAUCAAAAUCCUGUUGAGCAGCUAACAGAAAUUAAGAGAAUCGAGCAGAAUGGUUUAGGAACAACGGUAACAAAACCAAUACAACUUUAUCACAGCUUUUGAAAAACAAAAUUACCACCACUAUUCGAAACGUGCGAACAUGCUUCGAUUCAUACGAAAAAUCACCAACCUUAUUAUUUUCGAGACACGAAAAAGUUAAAAAGCAAGUCUCGGUACAGGAGUAGACUAAGAUGGUCUCUGCGAAUUCGACCAUGCGGAAAAGCGGCGGGCAAGAAUGGCGCGAAGAACUUAUUGCCCCACACGGCGCUUCCUGACCGACUAUCACGAUUAGCUUUAGUAUCUCGGGUGGAGAUAUGGAAAACAUCCACACAGAUGUCCUCUUAAUCUAGGUCAUCUCAAGCCAGGAUAAUGCCACUUGUAGUAUCACGUACAGCAUUACGUUGGCUGAUCAAGGGCAGCAGAGACAUACGUACAUUUAGCAGCAGUAUUAGAAUCAGAUUAAGCAGCAACAGACUGCGGUCAGUACCGACAUGUCGGCGCUCGACCACGGCGGAGAGUCACCGUGCACAAUAGUUGGCAAAUGAGCCUAAAUCACAAAAAUUACUGAAACGAAAACCUUGAAGAGUGAGAAUUACAUUAUAAAUAUAUUGUUUAUUGAUCCAUA